UACGUAGGGGGCAAGCGUUGUCCGGAGUUACUGGGCGUAAAGCGCACGCAGGCGGUCUCUUAAGUUUGGAGUGACAGUUGGUGGCUUAACUGCCAAAGUGCUUCGAAAACUGAGAGACUUGAGGGCUUCAGAGGGACACGGAAUUCCGGGUGGAGUGGUGAAAUGCGUAGAGAUCCGGAGGAACACCAAAGGCGAAGGCAGUGUCCUGGGGAGUACCUGACGCUCAGGUGCGAAAGCUAGGGGAGCAAACGGG
rnacentral:rRNA from 1 species